UUUUUUCGAAAAUUAAGGAAGUUGCAGUUUUAAAAAUAUUCUAAAAAUAUUAUAACUUCCUUAAACGUGUUUUCAUUGAUAUGCUUCGUGAAAAAUCAAAAACAAAACGAUUUUGAAUGUUCUUCUUCACCAAUCUAUGAUUUCCCCAUGAUUUCUCUUUAGUUUGUUUUGUGAUUUUCACAAACUCUUGUUCUAUGAUGCAUAUCUAUACAACAUGUGGUGUUUGAGAGUUUGGCGCAACCACGGAGAGGCGGAGACAAGCAGAGAGAGGCGGAGAGAAGCGGAGAGACGGAGAGAAGGGGAGAGACGGAGAGGUGGAGAGAGAAGCACUGAAAUCUAUUUUGCGUUUGUCUAGAGAGAAAGAGAUCCAGAGAAAAGUAUUAGAACAAGAAGAAGAAAGGAACAAAAUUUAUGACUGAAAUUGGAUGGAGAACUUUGGUGUUUACCUUCGGUAUGUAGGAGAAAAGAAAGGGGUUCCACCGGUGGCUGCAGUCGUCGUUGAUUUCACCGGAUAAAACACAAAGGAGAAGACACAAUCGCCAUCUUGCUCGCCGUGGAAGAGAGAGUCGGAGAGAUCGAUGUUAGGGUUACGGGAGUUAGGGAAAGUUAAAUGUUUAGAUCCCUUUUUUUUUUUUAAUUUGUUUCCCCUUUUGGCAACUAUAUUAAACCAACCUUUUUCCAUUUUUUUAAAAAAUUCAAUUAAUUAUGUUUAAUGUGAUUA
rnacentral:lncRNA from 1 species